rnacentral:rRNA from 1 species
UAGAGUUUGAUCCUGGCUCAGGAUGAACGCUGGCGGUAUGCCUUAUACAUGCAAGUCGAACGAGAGUUUUUAACUCUAGUGGCGGACGGGUGAGUAACACGUAAGAAUUUGCCUUUAGGAGGGGGACAACAACUGGAAACGGUUGCUAAUACCCCAUAUGCUUUCGAGUAAAACGGUUUUCCGCCUAAAGAGAAGCUUGCGGCUGAUUAGCUUGUUGGUAGGGUAAUGGCCUACCAAGGCGACGAUCAGUAUCGUGGUUUGAGAGGACGAUCAGACACACUGGAACUGAGACACGGUCCAGACUCCUACGGGAGGCAGCAGUAGGGAAUUUUCCGCAAUGGGCGAAAGCCUGACGGAGCAAUACCGCGUGAGGGAUGAAUGCCUAUGGGUUGUAAACCUCUUUUUUCAGGGAGGAAUAAAUGACGUGUACCUGAAGAAUAAGCAUCGGCUAACUCCGUGCCAGCAGCCGCGGUAAGACGGAGGAUGCAAGUGUUAUCCGGAAUCACUGGGCGUAAAGCGUCUGUAGGUGGCUUAAUAAGCCAACUGUUAAAUCUUGAAGCUCAACUUCAAAAUCGCAGUCGAAACUAUUAGACUAGAGUAUAGUAGAGGUAAAGGGAAUUUCCAGUGGAGCGGUGAAAUGCGUAGAGAUUGGAAAGAACACCGAUGGCGAAGGCACUUUACUGGGCUAUUACUGACACUCAGAGACGAAAGCUAGGGUAGCAAAUGGGAUUAGAUACCCCAGUAGUCCUAGCCGUAAACAAUGGA